UUGGAGGGCAAGUCUGGUGCCAGCAGCCGCGGUAAUUCCAGCUCCAAUAGCGUAUAUUAAAGUUGUUGUGGUUAAAAAGCUCGUAGUUGAACCUUGGGCCUGGCUGGCCGGUCCGCCUCACCGCGUGUACUGGUCCGGCCGGGCCUUUCCCUCUGUGGAACCCCAUGCCCUUCACUGGGUGUGGCGGGGAAACAGGACUUUUACUGUGAAAAAAUUAGAGUGCUCCAGGCAGGCCUAUGCUCGAAUACAUUAGCAUGGAAUAAUAGAAUAGGACGUGUGGUUCUAUUUUGUUGGUUUCUAGGACCGCCGUAAUGAUUAAUAGGGACAGUCGGGGGCAUCAGUAUUCAAUUGUCAGAGGUGAAAUUCUUGGAUUUAUUGAAGACUAACUACUGCGAAAGCAUUUGCCAAGGAUGUUUUCAUUAAUCAGGAACGAAAGUUAGGGGAUCGAAGACCAUCAGAUACCGUCGUAGUCUUAACCAUAAACUAUGCCGACUAGGGAUCGGACGGUGUUAUUUUUUGACCCGUUCGGCGCCUUACGGGAAAC
rnacentral:rRNA from 1 species